rnacentral:rRNA from 1 species
AUUCGUCAGCUACACAUGCAGUCGAGCGGAUGAGAGAGGAGCUUGCUCCCUUGAUUUAGCGGCGGACGGGUGAGUAAUGCCUAGGAAUCUGCCUGGUAGUGGGGGAUAACGUCCGGAAACGGGCGCUAAUACCGCAUACGUCCUACGGGAGAAAGCAGGGGACCUUCGGGCCUUGCGCUAUCAGAUGAGCCUAGGUCGGAUUAGCUAGUUGGUGAGGUAAUGGCUCACCAAGGCGACGAUCCGUAACUGGUCUGAGAGGAUGAUCAGUCACACUGGAACUGAGACACGGUCCAGACUCCUACGGGAGGCAGCAGUGGGGAAUAUUGGACAAUGGGCGAAAGCCUGAUCCAGCCAUGCCGCGUGUGUGAAGAAGGUCUUCGGAUUGUAAAGCACUUUAAGUUGGGAGGAAGGGCAUUAACCUAAUACGUUAGUGUUUUGACGUUACCGACAGAAUAAGCACCGGCUAACUUCGUGCCAGCAGCCGCGGUAAUACGAAGGGUGCAAGCGUUAAUCGGAAUUACUGGGCGUAAAGCGCGCGUAGGUGGUUCGUUAAGUUGGAUGUGAAAGCCCCGGGCUCAACCUGGGAACUGCAUCCAAAACUGGCGAGCUAGAGUACGGUAGAGGGUGGUGGAAUUUCCUGUGUAGCGGUGAAAUGCGUAGAUAUAGGAAGGAACACCAGUGGCGAAGGCGACCACCUGGACUGAUACUGACACUGAGGUGCGAAAGCGUGGGGAGCAAACAGGAUUAGAUACCCUGGUAGUCCACGCCGUAAACGAUGUCAACUAGCCGUUGGGUUCCUUGAGAACUUAGUGGCGCAGCUAACGCAUUAAGUUGACCGCCUGGGGAGUACGGCCGCAAGGUUAAAACUCAAGAAAAUUGGACGGA